rnacentral:rRNA from 1 species
GCAUAUCAAUAAGCGGAGGAAAAGAAACCAACAGGGAUUGCCCUAGUAAUGGCGAAUGAACAGGCAAAAGCUCAGAUUUGAAACCCUCGGGAUUGUAAUCUGGAGACCUGGAUUUGGCAGGCUGACCAAGUCUUCUGGAAUGGAGCGCCAUGGAGGGUGACAGCCCCGUAGCAGCAGCCACUGUAAAUCCGGGUCGACGAGUCGAGUUGUUUGGGAAUGCAGCUCUAAGUGGGUGGUAUGCUCCAUCUAAAGCUAAAUAUUGGCGAGAGACCGAUAGCGAACAAGUACUGUGAAGGAAAGAUGAAAAGAACUUUGAAAAGAGAGUGAAAAAGUACGUGAAAUUGUUGAAAUGGAAGGCAAUGAGGUGCGAUUGAACCGGACGUUUGCGGGCAGCACAAAAGCGCAGGCCGCCUCGGCAUUGCCUGCGUGCAUACUGCCUCGCGGACUACCGGUUCUAACAACGCCUUAUUGCACCCGUCUUGAAACACGGACC